UUACUUAGAUAUCAAUAUUUAUUCUACCUGUAAAUUUAGUCUCAGCCAAUUAACUGAAUCAUUGGCAAUUUUUUUUCUUUUUUUUUUGCAGAAAGUAAGAGCAGUCCUAAAAUCACAAAGUCAACUCAAACACAAGACUCAUCAUUUUGGGGGAUAAUAAGGAAAAGACUCAAAAGGGAAAAUGACUUGUCCCUAGAAGGGUCUUUGGUCAUCUUCUGCUCACCAGGACUCAGAGGCUCCAGGUAUAUGAAGCCACAGACCCAUCAUCCACGGAG
rnacentral:lncRNA from 1 species